rnacentral:misc_RNA from 1 species
UUAACGAAUUUCAAACAUAUUUCCCAAACACAUGCGCAUUGCGCUAAAAAAAAAAAAGCACAGUAAAUGUUGCUGCUGCUGUCAUUGAUGAUAACCAGUGUUCAGCUGUAUUAUGGCAGUUCACGAUAUUUGGUGCAUAAAAAAAGAGGGUAUGUUAUCAUCAUCACAAAAACGGUGUCCCAUGUUGGUGUCUAAUCUUUAUUUGAGCUAUCGCCCGACCGUCGAUAGCAAUGAGAAUAAAGAGGAAGCUUUUCUCCGCUCCUAUGUAGUGGAAAAAGUAGACUUAAUAAGCAUUUAAGCUUGUGAUGCUGCCAACAAAAAAAAAAAACACACACACACAUACAUAUUGUAUUUUGGUAAAAAAAAUAAUUAUACUGAUAAAAAUAUCAGUUAUAAAAGAAGAGAU